rnacentral:lncRNA from 1 species
CCCGUUGAUUUCUUUUCACAACACACUAAGUUUUAGCUUUCAAGAAUUCCAAUAGGGACACAAGCCUUCAAAAAAAUGAGCCCAACAAUAGUAUUUCAUCUAUGGUGCAACACUGACACUAAUGUGGUAUGCAACAAAAUAUAAAGUGUGAAAUUAAUCAUGAAUCGUACAGAUUAUUGGACUUAAUUCGAUUUGCAAAAUAAUUAAUCAUGAAUCAUGUAAGUUAUCAACUCAACUUGAUUUACAAGAUAAUUAACAAUGAAUCAUAUAAAUUAUCGAACUCAACUUUAAUUACAAGAUUUUCUAGCAAAUUCUAGAUUAAGGCUACGACCAUACUAGAUUUCAAAAUAGAUACAUGAUCUGGGCUCCUGUGGCUUUCCAAUCCCUCAACAAGUCUUGAGUUUACAAAGGCACCUACAAAACUGCUUUUCAAAUCAGCAUCUUGUCCAUCACAUGUCAAAACAAUUGAAGCAACAAGUGAGGAUCCAAAUGAUUUCGAAACUUUCUUUCUUUUAUUUUAGGAUUUCAUAUGUAAAAGGGGAAUUGAGAGACUUUAUAACAAAUAACAUCUAUCUGUAUGAUGCUUCAAUAAUUAGAGACUUGCAAAUAGCACAAGUAUGGCAAUUAAGCAUUAUAAAUUCAUGAAAAAGCUAAACUUAAAUAUGACAUGAACAUAUCAAGUUUUACCCAUAAUAGCAAAUGGAGAAUGGUAAGUGGAUAUUUAUAUACCUAGCAGCAAAGAAACAGAAAGAAAUGGCCAAAUAUGAUCAAAUUUCGAAAGCAAAACCAGCUUGAUUGAAUAGGAGUAAUCAGUAGCAGUAAUCAACAAAGAAACGAGCUCAACUUCAGCAGCUUCUAAAAUCCAGAAAAUGUUUCCUAACACCCUCCUUAUGAUCUCUUUCCUUGUUUUUUCUACUCUCUUUUUGUGUUUUUGUUUUUCUUGAAAUUUAAAUUCCUAGACCUAUGAGUGAAUAAGAAUAAGAAUGGAUUUUUCAGAAUCAGUUCUCUAUUAUAAAAAUGCAGAUUAUGUAGAUAAGAGAAUGACUAAGACAGACGAGUGUGAGUGUAUGUGUGUGUGUGUGUGUCUAUAUAUAUAUAUAUAUAUAUAUUGAAUGAAUGAGAGCCCGUGAGAAAGGGAAUCUAGCAGUGUGAAAUCAGGGGGAAUGAGAGAGGGGAGGAGAAUAUUUGUAACUGAAAAUGCCAGUUGCCUUUCUAUCGUUAAUUCUUUUCCCUUAUUCUCCUUUUCUUUUAUUUAAUUCUUUCCAAACCCGAGCCCUUCUUUCUUUUGCAAAAAUGGACCUUUCUAUUCCUUUCAUAAACCAAAUUGGGCCUGGGUUGGGUGCCCAUGGUCAAAUGGCCCAUAACAAACCAGCCCAAACGAAAUGAAAGAAAUCGGAAGAUCAAACAGAUAAAAGACAAAAAGCAAGCAGUUAUAUUUUCACAUUUCAAAUUAAAGUGAUUUUGAUAAUGCAACUAACCUAAUCAAACAAAAUAAACAUUUUAAUAAUUAAUCACAAUUUAGAAAUUUUAUAGAAAAGGGAGAAGGUGAAAUAAAGAAAACGAGGAAGGAAUUACCUAAAUAGGCCUCUAUUUGGAAUCCAUCGGUCAUACUGGGAAUUGAACUUAUUAUCAAUUGACUGCUCUUAUAAAGACCAAUCAACUGAUGUUGAUUUUGAAUUCACAAGGCUAAGCUUAGAGAAAAAGUCAAUGAUAGGAGCUAAAUAGGUUCUGAUGAAUCUAAGAUCUAAAAAUCGAGGAAUUGUAGUUUUUUUAGGGAAAUCUGUAAGUGGAUUAGUGGUGAGGGGAGGUUGAAUAUUGUAUGGUGAGAGUUUGGGUGUGUUUGAGGGUUGUGUCGUUGACAGGGGUGGCUUAGGAAAGGAAAGUUACUAGGGUUAGAUAUUUUGAGAGAGAUGAGUGAAAUGGAAGGGUGUUUUGGGUUUUGGGGAUGGCUUUGGAUAAUUAUAGCGAUGAGGAUGGGGAGUUCCUGGCCGUAGGACCAUAU